GCGGGGGCGGGGGCGGCGGCGGGGCUUCGCCCCAUCCGGGGGCGGGCCCCGCUUCCCCGCCCGGUUCGGGCCCGGGCUCCGGCUCC
rnacentral:tRNA from 1 species